UACGUAGGGUGCAAGCGUUGUCCGGAAUUAUUGGGCGUAAAGAGCUCGUAGGCGGUCUGUCGCGUCGGCUGUGAAAACCGGAGGCUCAACCUCCGGCCUGCAGUCGAUACGGGCAGACUAGAGUUCGGUAGGGGAGACUGGAAUUCCUGGUGUAGCGGUGAAGUGCGCAGAUAUCAGGAGGAACACCGGUGGCGAAGGCGGGUCUCUGGGCCGAAACUGACGCUGAGGAGCGAAAGCAUGGGGAGCGAACAGG
rnacentral:rRNA from 1 species